rnacentral:rRNA from 1 species
AUUGAACGCUGGCGGCAGGCUUAACACAUGCAAGUCGAGCGAGCGGCGGACGGGUGAGUACUGUCUGGGAAACUGCCUGAUGGAGGGGGAUAACUACUGGAAACUGUAGCUAAUACCGCAUACCAUCAGAUGUGCCCAUAUGGGAUUAGCUAGUAGGGGGGGUAACGGCUCACCUAGGCGACGAUCCCGAGCUGGUCUGAGAGGAUGACCAGCCACACUGGGACGGAGACACGGCCCAGACUCCUACGGGAGGCAGCAGUGGGGAAUAUUGAACAAUGGGCGCAAGCCUGAUGCAGCCAUGCCGCGUGUAUGAAGAAGGCCUUCGGGGUGUAAAGCACUUUCAGUGGGGAGGCGGUACCCGCAGAAGAAGCACCGGCUAACUCCGUGCCAGCAGCCGCGGUAAUUC